GGUCUUGUGUUACGUUUUUCAUAACUCCUAUAGUCAUUUCGGACGAGUAAAUUGUCUUUUUCACGGAUGACGCUGUAAAACGAUACGACCUUUAAUUUGUAGUACCUUAAAAAUACGAAUAAUUUUUCGUUGUGUCAAACGUCAUCAUUAAUGUUUGAAAUAAUUGGCCACCGCGACCGCUCCGUCCGAUUUCAUUAUACCAGCGAUACACUCUAAACACGAAUGUAUUCACGUGUAAAUAUUUCGGGUAGGUUUUCCAUUACCGAUAUUAUAUUUACCGCAGUUUCCUGCAAUGGUUAAAGUGGGAGAAACUUCGAAAGGGGACUAUAUUUACCGAUAAUUGAGGGGUUUCCCGGGAACUAACUAAACCUAACCGAACCUUCAGGAUACCAAUCACAGAGAGAUGACUUCAAAAAUUUGUUCUCCCCCACGCAUUUGUUCAUGACAAUUUUAUACUAUUAGGGUUAAGAAAAUAAACGGCACCGCCGACCUAAAAUAUUAUUCUACGCGUAUGUUUAGUAAAAACAUGGUAAAACAGAGUCCGAUUGCGUACAAUCAAAUAGAUAUUAAUGCAUUUAUUUUUAACAAAUCAUGUGCCCUCCCUACAGAACUUCAAGACUUAAGCACAAGGGACUGAUAAUGUUACA